rnacentral:lncRNA from 1 species
GUGGGGAAGGGAACAUCGGGCUAUUAGACAGCACACAGAGAGGCUAGGAGAGGCCAGAGCUAUCCCGGCGGCCCCACCAGCCUGGGAACUUGGGCUCAGGGGAGGGCACCACUUCCACUCAGCACCCCCUCCAGUGUGGCCUGACGUGGCAGGCUCCUAGUCCCUCCCAUGGGCAGGGCUGUGGCCCCCGCCUCCGGAGCCCACAGGCCUGGGCCGGGCUAAAUUGGGGGGCUCCCCCCAUCCCCAGCUCCCGAGGCGGGGCUGGAGGCCACUCAGGCCCCGGGCACUGUCUGGCCCGGUUGGAGCAACAGUCUCAGCAAACGCUUUUCCAGAUGUGCCUUAUUCCUGACGUGCCUGCAAGACCCACAUUCCAGUCAGAGCUGGCUGUUCCCAGGACCAUCUGGACCCAGUUGCCACCGGAUCCAGUGGGAGAACCUCAGCUGUGUCCAGAGGUUCAGGUCUGAAGGAAGAGAACUCUCAUGCUGGCAGCAGGCUGGGAACACGUGAGAGGUCCUCCUCCAAGCCCUCUGCAUCUGGGAGCCAGAACGCCAGAAAGUGGCCAUUUUUUGAGUCAGCGUAGGAAGAAGGAGCCUCCAGGCCUGGAGCAACUGCCUGCCUGCAUCUCCCGCUCAUCUCCACCCUCCUGGAUCUCUGUUUCCCAUCCUGGCUGGUGCAGAGGCAGAGGCCUGGGCCCUGCCUGCUCAUGGAGCGCCAGUGUGGGCGGGAGCUGAGGAUGAGUGAGGAGCUCGGACAGUUAGGCCUCUGAAUGUGACGAUGGACACGACCCCAGCAGGACAGGGGAGAGAGACUUGGUCAGCCUUCCGCCUAAAGCCUUAGGAAGUCCCGGCCCCAGGCCAAGGUCCUUCGCUCAUAAACAGGUGUGUUCCUGUGAAAGGCCAGCCCGAGAGGUCACCUUGGCCUAAAGGGAGGUCGGGGAGAGCACAGUGGGGUCACCUGGGGUCUGGGCUCCCAGCCUGCCUUACUCACGCCUUCCCAGGGUGAGCCGGGAUACACCCUCUCUUCCCAGCCUCCAUUGUGAUGGUGCAGGACCCUGACGACUUCCCAGAAAAGGAAAUGGAAAAUCUGUAGAUAAAUAAAGCCAAGGUGUGUCUGCGUUGGCA